rnacentral:rRNA from 1 species
GAUGAACGCUGGCGGCGUGCCUAAUACAUGCAAGUCGAGCGAACAGACGAGGAGCUUGCUCCUCUGACGUUAGCGGCGGACGGGUGAGUAACACGUGGAUAACCUACCUAUAAGACUGGGAUAACUUCGGGAAACCGGAGCUAAUACCGGAAAAUAUAUUGAACCGCAUGGUUCAAUAGUGAAAGACGGUUUUGCUGUCACUUAUAGAUGGAUCCGCGCCGCAUUAGCUAGUUGGUAAGGUAACGGCUUACCAAGGCAACGAUGCGUAGCCGACCUGAGAGGGUGAUCGGCCACACUGGAACUGAGACACGGUCCAGACUCCUACGGGAGGCAGCAGUAGGGAAUCUUCCGCAAUGGGCGAAAGCUUGACGGAGCAACGCCGCGUGAGUGAUGAAGGUCUUCGGAUCGUAAAACUCUGUUAUUAGGGAAGAACAAAUGUGUAAGUAACUAUGCACGUCUUGACGGUACCUAAUCAGAAAGCCACGGCUAACUACGUG